rnacentral:rRNA from 1 species
AUUGAACGCUGGCGGCAGGCCUAACACAUGCAAGUCGAACGGUAACAGGAAGAAGCUUGCUUCUUUGCUGACGAGUGGCGGACGGGUGAGUAAUGUCUGGGAAACUGCCUGAUGGAGGGGGAUAACUACUGGAAACGGUAGCUAAUACCGCAUAACGUCGCAAGACCAAAGAGGGGGACCUUCGGGCCUCUUGCCAUCGGAUGUGCCCAGAUGGGAUUAGCUAGUAGGUGGGGUAACGGCUCACCUAGGCGACGAUCCCUAGCUGGUCUGAGAGGAUGACCAGCCACACUGGAACUGAGACACGGUCCAGGCUCCUACGGGAGGCAGCAGUGGGGAAUAUUGCACAAUGGGCGCAAGCCUGAUGCAGCCAUGCCGCGUGUAUGAAGAAGGCCUUCGAGUUGUAAAGUACUUUCAGCGGGGAGGAAGGGAGUAAAGUUAAUACCUUUACUCAUUGACGUUACCCGCAGAAGAAGCACCGGCUAACUCCGUG